GGCUGGCUAGCUUAGUUGGUUAGAGUGUAGUACUAGUAAUGCCAAGGUCAUGGGUUUGAGUCCCAUAUGGGCCA